GAAGGCAAAAUUUGCAAUUUGUUCCAGUGAUAAGUCUGUGACGAGGCUGUCUGUGUGAUUCCAUGUGUGUUCGUCGGUAGGGUGGGGGUGGUUUUCUGUGGCUGUGUGCGUGUGUUUGUGGAAAAUCAGAAGAAAAGUUGUACUUUGCUGUGAAAAUUGUUGUGCAAAGUGCACACACGGUCCCUAAACUGAAAAAGAAGAGGCCAGAGAGGAGUCAACGCGAUUGUCAAAAAUCAAUUUCACCACCGCAAAUACACGACAACGUGGAACAAGAGGCAAUUGUUCAUCAAUUUUCAACAAACAAGUAAACAGAAAAAAGUGUUCAGCCGCCACAUCAGCUGCUUUUUUUUUGGUUGGAAAAUUCGAAAACAACAAACGCGCAACCUGUCUCUUUUGCUGCUGCAAUAACCAUCGACAACAACAACAACGACGACGACGACCAGCAAUUUAUCUCUGUGUGUGUAUUCAACAAUAACAGUACAACGACCAGCAAGAAGCAGCCAUAGCCCAGUCAUCAUCGCAGCUAAGGCAGAGUUUCUCUUCAUUAAAAAGUCCAACAACUGGCAGUGGCGGCGGCGGUGGUUGCGUUGCACAGGCUGCAGCAGCAGCCUCAACCAGCCAACCGACCAAUUCGGAUUGUAAAACCGAACCGUCGACUGUCGAAAUAUGCGGUGACUCUCCGCGCACAGAAUGUUAUCCGCACAAACAUUUCCACGAAUGGAAAUAGCUUGAAAACGGUCGUCCCAACCAACAUCUAAGAAGAACCUCAUCCCACACAAUUUCCCAUGAUUGUCAACAACCGCGGCAAGAACAACGGCGUUUCACAUCCGUCGCCAAACAUUAGAAGCCCCCACCCCCACCGCCGUUUAAACGGCGAUUAAGAUAAUAGUGGUUGCUCCCAAGAGUAGUGAAAAGCCGGCAAAAAAAGAUAACAGAAGAAAAACAAAGCUUGAAAAAGGCUUGUGACGGCAAGAGCGCAACUUGUUCGGAAGAAAGUAUUUGCAAAAGUGCUCUCAGCCUCGCUCUCUCUCUUUCACAAACAUUCAAUGGGGGCACAGUGUGGUUUUUGGAGGGAGGACACACGUGGGCAUUUGUUUUAAUUUUUGGUUCAUUGUUUUAUUUCUUAUAGGUGUACCACCUUCUACUAGUCCGGUUAUCGUGUUCUAAGUGGGAGUCACUUAAGUUUGUACGUUUGUUACUUUUGUUUUCCUAAUUAAAUUUAGUUUAAAGCUUUAUAGUUUUGUUAGAACACUGCCAACCGAUGCUUAGUUGUUGAAACGAAAUAAGUAUUAUUUUCCAAUACCCUUAUAGAUAUUAAGAGACCAAACCAAGUGCGUGCGAACAGCAGACCAAUAGCAAUGUUCUAUUUAUUACUGUUUAUGUAAGUGUGCGCGUGUGUGCGUGUUACUCCUGUAUGUAUGUCGUGGUGCCACGUGCACAGAAGAAGCCGCCACUUUCCAUGGAUGGCCGAUCGACGUGCUGAACUAGGUUAAGAGCCGGUUUCGGAACGGGUUCAACGACCAUUUAAAAGUGUUCGUGUGUGUGUGUGUUCUCUAUUGUAUACUCAUCGUCAUCGUUGUCCGGGAAAGGUUCCUAGCCCCGCACGACCCACCAUCCCCUGUAACUGUCUGUGUGUCGGAUCCCCGCUCGGAAUUCCCGGUAUCAAACCCGCCCCAAAACAAAAAGUCGUAGACACCCAACCCCGGUAGAGUAAAUCGCAAAUAGCUCAUAGUAUGACCUUGACGGUGUCGGAAUCGGACGGCAACACUCUGCGCAACAAUAACGCCAACGCCAACAACAACAACAACACUCUCAACAGUUCGGAUAUGACCGAAUCUCUACCCAGUUCUGAACUCUCCCUGCUAGCAAAACUGGAGGCCGCCAACAAGCUGAUCGAGAGUGACUCGAAGAGUCUGAACUCGCUGCAGAGUUCCGCCCACAGCCGGAAGAGCUCGGACACCAGCCAGAUUUCGCUCAACUCGGGCGCCUCCUCCGUCGGGGAGGAGGACAUCUGGUCGACAUGGGCCAGCAUCGUGGCCGACUGGGAGGCGGGCCAGAAGCGGAAGGCGCCUACCGUUAAGGAGCUGGUCCGGAAGGGCAUCCCGCACCACUUUCGGGCCAUCGUCUGGCAGCUGCUGUGCGGGGCGACCGAGGCGGACAAGAAGCAGUACGCGGAGUACAUCAAGGCAACGAGCGCCUGCGAGAAGGUCAUCCGGCGGGACAUUGCGCGGACCUAUCCGGAGCAUGACUUCUUCAAGGAGAAGGACGGGCUCGGGCAGGAGGCGCUGUUCAACGUGAUGAAGGCGUACUCGCUGCACGACCGCGAGGUCGGCUACUGCCAGGGCUCGGGCUUCAUCGUGGGGCUGCUGCUGAUGCAGAUGCCCGAGGAGGACGCCUUCUCGGUGCUGGUCCAGAUCAUGCAGCAGUACCGGAUGCGGGACAUGUUCAAACCGUCGAUGGCCGAGCUCGGCCUGUGCAUGUACCAGCUGGAGAGCAUCGUCGCGGAGCAGAUCCCCGAGCUGCACCUGCACUUCCAGUCGCAGAGCUUUCAAACCUCCAUGUACGCCUCCAGCUGGUUCCUCACGCUGUACACAACGGCCCUCAACCUGACGCUCAGCUGCCGCAUCAUGGACGUGUUCCUGUCCGAGGGCAUGGAGUUCAUCUUUAAGGUGGCGAUCGCGCUGCUCCUCAUCGGCAAGGACACGCUGCUGUCGCUGGACAUGGAAGCGAUGCUGAAGUACUUCCAGAAGGAACUUCCCCAGAAGGUGGAAAACGACAGCGACGGGCUGUUCAACCUAGCAUUCCAGGUGAAGAUCAACACGAAGAAGAUGAAGAAAAUGGAGAAGGAGUACGCCGACCUCCGGAAAAAGGAACAGGAAGAAAUGGUCGAACUGAGGCGAUUACGAAACGAGAACCGGCUGCUGAAGAAGCGCAACGAGCUGCUGGAGGCGGAAAGUGCCGAACUCGCGGAUCGGUUAGUUCGCGGCCAGGUGUCCCGCGCCGAAGAGGAGGAAACCAGCUACGCUAUCCAGUCGGAACUGUUGGCCCUGCGGAGGGUUCACCUGGAGGUAGCCCACCAGCUGGAGACCGCAAACGAGGAAGUGCGAGCACUCAGCUUGCGACUUCAGGAAAAUGUUGCGGAUAAUUCGCUCGAAUCCAACAACUCCCGCCAGAACUCGUUCGACGAGCUGAUCAUGAAGGAGGAGGCGCUGAAGCAGCGCGACGAGAUGGUGUCCUGCCUGCUGGAGGAGCUGGUCAAGGUGCGCCAGGGGCUGGCCGAGAGCGAAGAUGUGAUACGAAACCUCAAGACGAAGAUCCAGGAGCUGGAGGAGGACAAGAAACGACUCCGCGAGACCACGAUCGACAACUCGGUGGCACAUCUGCAGGACGAGCUGAUAGCGAGUAAGCUGCGGGAAGCCGAGGCCAGUUUGUCGCUGAAGGACCUCAAGCAGCGCGUUCAGGAGUUGAGCACUCAGUGGCAGAGGACACUGUCGGAGCAGCGGAACGAGGCGGCCCAGACGAGCGAGUCGGGCGCGAAGAAGCUGCUGUUCUGGGAGUCGUCGCGCACCGCGGAUAUCCAGAAGCUCGAGGAGGAGCUGAUGACGACGCGGAUUCGCGAGAUGGAGACGCUAACCGAGCUGAAGGAGCUGCGGCUGAAGGUGAUGGAGCUGGAGACGCAGGUUCAGGUUUCGACCAACCAGCUGCGACGCCAGGACGAGGAGUCCAAGAAGGUGAAGGAAGAGCUGGAGGAGGCGCUGGUGCGCGAGCGGGAACUGUCGAACAAGGCCCGCGAGCAGCAGCACCGGUACUCGGAUCUCGAAUCUCGCAUGAAGGACGAGCUGAUGAACGUCAAGAUCAAGUUCACCGAGCAGAGCCAGACGGUGGCCGAGCUGAAGCAGGAGAUUUCGCGGCUCGAAACCAAGAACUCCGAAAUGCUGGCCGAGGGCGAGCUUCGCUCCAACCUGGACGAGUCGGACCGCGUGCGGGAUCUGCAGGACAAGGUGGCCGAGCUGAAGGCCGAGUUUCCCACGCCGAUUACCAGUCCGGAGACCGAACCGUGGAAGUGGAUAGCAUAAAGGGGGAGCGCAAACAAGCAUUCAUCGUCACAUUGUCAUUUUUUCAAUGUCACAAUUAACCGCACACCCACACAAACUUAAUCAACCAACAAACAAAACCACUCUCACUUAGGAUGAGGACGCUGGAUCAACUAACCUCUAGUCAAGCCAACCAACCAACUCAGUAUUAUUAAUCAUUCCCCCACUCGUCGUCGUCGUCGUCGUCGUCGCCGUCGUACUUGUCGUCAUUAAUUUUGGAGAAGAAGCAGCAGCAGCAGUGUGUUUGUGUGUUAAAAGCGCUAAUAUCGUUAACGAGAGAACAAUCGGCAGCUGACCGCGCUCAAGUGCCGCGGUUCGGGCCCGCUGAACCUGCGCAUGAUCAAGAGCACCUCGAUCCAGUCGAUCGACUCCACCAACGAGAUCGACUUUGCCGAGAUGCAGCUCUCGCGGAAGGACAUCCUGAGCGG